GGGUUAGAAAUCGCAACUUUUCCUGCAAGGUCUGAUCUUAUCGUUGAUGAGAGGAAUGAUAAGAAACCAAUAAUGAAAUGAAGGAAAAAAAAGAUAAAGGAAUAUGAAAGGGAACAAAAAAGAUAAACGGAAUGAUGGAUGCUAAUAAGCUUAAGAAUAGUCACUACUUUGUAAGACGAAACAAUGUGAAUGAUAUGUAAGAUGGUAGUGUGAAAAAACCGAAAAAAAAAAAAAAAGC